rnacentral:lncRNA from 1 species
GGCCCAGCUGCGGCAUCUUCGGGCAUCUGCCUGGGAUUCGCCUCAAAGGCCCCUCUCCAGGGUGGCCGGGCCCAAUAAAAACAGCACAAAGGGGGCCUUUGUCCCCAAAUCGGGGGCGUGUCUCCCCCCACCAGAGCGCAAGGGCCCCCGUGCUGCACCUUUGGGUGCCGGCCCAGCCAGAGACGGGGAUCAAGAAGGCCCGGCCGGACUCCCAGGCCUCCCAGCCCCCACCGUGCACCCUCGGGAGAGAAAGACCCGGCCUGCGCAACACCCACAUGAGCCCGGGAGGCUCCACACAGACAGCACUGCUGCGCCAAGGGGAGGAGACAAGGGGCAGGAUGGGAAACUCUCAGAGGCCUCGGAAACAAGACCCCCUGGGCCGGCACUGGGGGCUGGCACAGGAAGGUCCGGCACUGGGGGCUGGCACGGGAAGGCCCAUCUGGGCAGCCCUGGGGAGCCCCGCCUCCAGCCCUCCACGCCUUUGCUUGCACACACAGAACCCGAGUCCAGGCCGCAUCUUGGGACAGAUUCAUGUCCCGCCCUGCCCUGCCCCGCCCAAGCUCCCACUCACGCUUCUCUUUGCCCCCCCACCCCCAUGGCCCGGCUGCAGACCACAGCUCAUGGCAAAGGGGCUUCCCGGACCCAGCCGAGGCCUGGAGCCCUGGACUUGGUUCCACGCCGCCCCUGGCCAGGGCCCUGGUCCAAGGCCCGCAACCUAGGAGGCCCGCCUGCGGGCCCGAAAUUUCCGGGAGCAUCGGGGUCCGUGCUCCCCUCACGGCUUCCUCCUCUCCUUAAGCAGCCGGGGACCUCACGGGCUCCUCGGGUUUCUGGCACCUCCUCCCCCGCUGCCUCCUGGGCUGGCCUCGAGUGUCUUUACGCAGGAAGCGCCCAGAGCCCCUGGGCCUGGUGGGACAGUUCUCCUCAUUCACUCACAUCCUGCUGGGCUUGAUCCACCUUCCCAGGCUGGAGACUCCACGUCGGCGGCUCCAUCACCUCCCAACGAUCCCAGGGUCUCCCCGAGCUGGGAAGGGCCUCCCUCCCCCUGUCCUGGGUCAUCCCUGGGCCCACUUCGGCUCUGAACAAAUCGGAUGCCCCUCAC